UCCCGCUUCGUCUAACGGCAGGACACCUGAUUUUGGCUCAGGGAAUUGUGGUUCGAAUCCAUGAGCGGGAA
rnacentral:tRNA from 1 species